rnacentral:rRNA from 1 species
AUGAAGCUCCUAUGUUGGAACAUUAGGGGCUUCGGCCUCACUGGCCGGAGGCGUCAACUCAUCAAGUAUUUGCGUCAGGAGGAGAUUGACAUUGUGGGACUGCAGGAGAUGAUUCGCCAGGACUUUAGUAUGCAUGAGCUCCAGGGGCUUUCCCGCCAUCAGUUUGCCUGGCAGUGGUUGCCUGCUACGGGGCAAUCUUGGGGCAUUUUGCUUGGAGUCCGGGAGGAUGCUUUCUCGGUUGAGGAUAUGGACCGAGGGGAAUUCUUCCUGAGCGUGUCUGUCACUGACAGACGAGUCCACUUCAGUUGGGAGGUGAUUUUCGUCUAUGGUCCUGCGGAUCAUGCUCGCUUUGCCGACUUCGUCGCCGAGCUUAAAAAUAAGGUGGAGAGGUGCACCACUCCAGUGGUGGUGGCCGGGGACUUCAACCUCAUUAGGUGGGCUUCUGAUAAAAGCUCGCCUAAUGUUGAUCGGGUCUGCAUGUGUCUAUUUAAUGGCUGCAUUGCGGACCUUGCGCUCCGUGAGAUAGCCCGCGUAGGGGCUAGGUUUACGUGGAUGAAUAAGCAGGAGGACCCCAUCCGGAGUGUUUAA